rnacentral:misc_RNA from 1 species
GAAGAGCUGAGAAAAUUAUGACCCUCAUGAGAACUAGAAAUGGAAAACAACCUAGCACUAACAGCACUGCAAGCUCGAAACAUAUCUUAGUUCCUGGUGGAGGACAUACGGCUAGGGCCAAUAAUCUUGAUAUAAGAGAAGACAACACUGUGAGAACAUCAAAAAGUCCAUUUGAAGCUUGGGGCGUCAAAUUUAUGGAAUCAAAAGAGAAACCUGUAGCCACAAGGAGUUUUACUUUGGGCCCACAAUUUUUACAAAGAGCUGGGGUGAACAGCACAACCAGCUCGAGUAAUUUACUGCUAGCUGGGGGCAGAAAGUUAAUCAACGUUGGAGGGGGCAGUGUGAAAAACUUGGCAAAUGCGCAUGUGGAUGGAAGCGACAAACUCACACUGUCUAAAACUCCACAUGUGCCGGGAAGCGACAACCUCACUGUGUCUAAAACUCCACAUAUGGCUGGGAUGAGCAGCACAACCAGCUCGAGUAAUUUACUGCUAGCUGGGGGCAGAAAGUUAAU